AAACAUUUCAUGUCAUUACAUGAGAGCUGUGAAGUCCUGUGGGCUUCACAAAGCAAUUGUGGUGCUUGUUUGCACCAGGGAUGACAGCACACAGGCAGCAGGCGGGCAGGCUGCUGGCCAAGCAGACAGGAGGAGGCUGUGAUGAGUGAGGGGAAGGCAAAAAAAAUGGCUAAAAGAGGAACUGGGAAGGGGAAUCUGCCCACAAGGAAACUUUUCUCAGCCAGCUAUGUCACAGCACUCUCACUGCACGGCAGCAGCUGUGCUGACCACAGGCACUGCCCUGAUGACUCGGGGUCCUCAGCACAUGCAGUGGCUUCCCAGCACAGGCAGGCAGCAAUGAGACUCUGCCAGGGGAAAGCACAGAGAUGAAGACAUCAGGACGCCAAAACAGAUGGGAGACCAUGCACACGGCAAAGCUGUGGAGAUCUGCCAGCCCCUGGAUGACAGUGGAGUGGUGGGAACUGAAGGCAUCCUUUGGGGGUAUCAGAUGGUGUGUGUGAUGUGCUGGCUCCAGCCACAGGCUUGAUUCCCAUCUGAAGUUUUCUGGCAGUGACAGCUUUUGAAAUGGAUGGAAGUACCCCAUGACGUUUUGGAAAAAUAUGACAAUAUUGUCACGUUACUUGGAGAGAUGUGGCUGGAAGUAUGAGUGAUGUCUGAAACAUCUGACCCUGAGCUGAAAUAAAGAACAGUUGAGACUUAUGUACAAGCAUUCGAGCCUCAGGUACACAGACGUGUGAGAGACUCCUAGAUAAAGUGUCUGAGGAACAAGAACUAUUUUCACGUGGGAAAGGAAGAGGUUGCAUGAAUCAUGGUAAACUUCCAACUUAGAUUUUACAGUAGUGAGGGUUGAGACAGUAGAGAUACCAUCUAGAAGUUGAUAGAAUUUUCUUUUUUUUUUUUUUUUUUGAAACACAUAUCUGUGCAAAUGUUAUACUUUGGACAAAAAAAAAAAGUGAGCAAAGGCAGAAUAAACCACUCUGUUUAGCAAAACAGCUGCAUGAUCUGCUAAACCCAGUCUUGUGAUGACAAGCCACAUGAAAUCUCUGCAGAUAAGUCAUCACCAGUGGCUAGUUUCCCCUGUGUCUCACUGACAAGGGGAGGGGAGGAGGAGUUUGUGUAAUUAAUAGGCAAGGGAAAAGUAGGGGACAUUUUUUAAAGUCAUCCCUGAUUACUCUCAAGUGGGUAUUGAUGGAAUGACAUCGGACAUGCUUUUAUAUUCGUAUUCCUCUGAUUAGAGGAAUUUGGACAUGAUCCAAGCAGAAGUAGACGAUCUGCUAGGUGGUCCAGUGGUAAAGCAUCCCACCCACCGCAGCAUCCUUAGCAGGGAGGAGGAGGUGAGACAGGGGGAGAUCCUCUGCUGAGGUGAGCCCCUGCACUGCCAGUGGGCAUAGAGAACAGACUCGUCCAGCCUGGGGAUUGAAACUCCACAAAGUCGAGCACCAGAUGGCAGAAGAUACAGUGGUUUACAUGUUUUGGACAGAGGGAGGCGUUGAUAACUCAAAAAAGAUAAAAAGAUAAACAUCAUGAAAUAUAAAAGGUAAGCCCUUUGCAGAACUUGGCCAGACUUCUGCAUUUCUACAGAUGUAGCCAUCUGCAAAAUGAAGAAGACAAGCACAAAGAGGAGCAUUAGGGGCUGGACAUUUUCAACAAGCUGCACUUGGGAUCCUCAACUUCUCCAAAGACCACGAAGCAGAGGAAUCUGUUCUCCCCAGAAACUGACCCAGGAGCACCCUGGUCCACUGUGAGGGUGGGGGAACAGCGAGACAGAAGCCAUCAGAGGACAGAGGGAAACCACAGGUACCUUGUGGAGUUGAAGCUGGAAAUGCUGUGCCACCUACAGCAUGUGUAGACACUUCUAUAAAUGCACGCGUAGCUGUGCAGUGGAAAGUAUCAUGAAGCUCUGCACAAUAAAGAUCAGCUUGUUCUUGGUCACAGCUGCUGGUGGGUUGCUAUUCCAGGAGAGGAAAGCCAGCUUGGAUGAAAGAACGUGUGACAGUGAGGUAACUCAACAUGGUACUUGAAAGUCCCUGUUGUGCCUGUUUGGAAGAGGAGCCAAAGCUCCCAGGCUGAGCUGGAGUCUGUACAGGAUGGAGAUGAAUCCAACCAAGAGCAGGAGGAAAGGAUGGGUACUUGGCUCACAGGCUGUCAAUAUGAUGUCUUAAGCUUCUGUGUGAAGGUGGAGCAUCACAGCUGGCAUUGAGUGGAGCAACAGGACCUUUCUGUUCUUGCUUUACCUGAAAAGCCCACCAUGCUAGGUCCUGCCUGGGGCUCCUGGAACACACCAAGUUAGAGAUCUAAGAGUGUAAAUGUUUUCAUCUAACUGAUGACAUGCUGUUUCGUGCUCCCAUCCCUGCCCAUAUGGCCAUUACUUUAUGGAACAACAAAGGCUUGCCCAGCAGAGCACUGAAGUAUCAGAAGAUAAAUGUAUAAAAAUUUAGUAACUGCUUUCUUCUUUGCUGUGUCAUGUUACCUAUUAAUACAGAUGUUAUAUCCCUGAGAAGUCUAGAAACAUAGAUAAUAUUCAGGUCCAUCAGGAAGAAUUACUGAAAACAUCUAAAAGUAUCCUUUCCAUAAACAAACUGAAUAUGUAAGCACAUCUGGCACAGCAAUCCUUUACUGCACCAUAUUAUAAAGCUCUCCAGAGCAAUGAAAGUAGUUAAGCCAAUUGUUUCAUAUUAGUUUUAAAUUUAUGCUUACAAAACAAUCUAUGAAUGAUUUGCAUCUCAGCAAAGAGACUUCCAUAAGUGGUCACAAAAAAGGGAGAAUCCAAAUAAAAGUUCUCUCUUGCAGAACAGGAAGGAAAAAAAUACUUGAACUUGAGGAGGUGUCUGGCUGGGCAGACAGAAGAAAGCAUCAGAGGGUCAAAAUCCCCUGAAGCCAUUAGGGAAAUACCAGAGUAUUAAAAAAAAAAAGAAAGGGAAAAGAAAAAAAAAAAAAGGCACCAUUAGCUUUAAUGUUCCCACACAAGUCAGUCACAAGAGACAGGCUGGGCACUCAUUUACAUACAAGCUUCAGAAUGAGACAAGCCUCAUGUGACUUCAAAGUUAUGAGUAAUGGGCCCAGAAAGCAGCAGAAAAAAACAGUGGGAUUAGGGGCAUUUCAGCUGAAACCCUUCCUCUGUGUAGAAGUGGCAGCCAGCAGCAAGUGGAGUUAACCUAUCUCCCCCUCCCCACUGCUGCCUCCCCUGAGGGUGUCACCGUGGAGGCUCUGCCUCUUCAGGGAGCAGGGGCUGACGGCUGCCUUGGCUGGAUGCUGGGAGCUGCCCUCACCUCAGUGAGCCUCACUGCAGGCAUCCCUGCCAGUCCUUGCUUGCUCUUUCAGCACCGAGGUUUCUGCAUGGUGUGGGAGUUCGGUGAAUCGGGCAGGCAUGCAAGUUGCAUGAGUAACGAAGAAAGGGGAAGGAGGCAACAGAUAAACAGAGUCACAAUUUGAAAAACAGGAAUAUGCUCUAAAGAUUAGGUUGGUAGGUCCAACACGCUCUGCUCUGGGGAGCAGGCUUACUUCUAGCUUGUCUGCUCUGAAAUGAUGGGACGCACCAGUUCAGAGGGAGGUGGACUAAACUGUAAAAAAGCACUGUGUAUGAAGGUGGACAGGAACCCAGGAACGUGGUCUAGAGAGCUGUAGGAAUUACAAGCACUGGCUGACCCAUCGCAAAAGUACUCAGGAAUGUAACACCUCUGUGGUUUCAACUGGGAAAGCACUGAAGCUUGUGCUGAAACGUGCUCCUGAACAAACAGAAAGGAUGACAGGGUUAACCAGGAGAGAGAGCAACUGACCAGGAGAGGGGGAAGCAGGCAGGGUCACCUCUUAGGAAAGGGGCCCCUGUCCUGACAACACCAGGUGGCUUGCAGCUCUAUCUUAUUUUUCUUUGAGAUCAUGGGCAACACGUAGAAGUCACAGUGGUGUAACGGUAUUGCCUGUCCAGAGAGAGGUCUG